AGGAACUAAAACCUCUUCUCAAAUGUAGCAAUUUUGCAUUCAGCUGCUCCACCAGCACACAGACAGAAAGCCACAUCUGCAAAGCAAAGCAAAGAGGGACAGCCAUCUCCUAUAUGUUAAACGUGAAGUCUAUUGUUUGUUGUUUUUUUAAUCUAAUUUGGCAGCAUAACCAGAAAAUGUAGUGUGUUUUUUUUCCACCCUCAACUUUUCCUUACACGGCUCUCGUUGAAGAGCUCAGCACUAUACAGGGAUAUAUGAACGAGAAGGUUGAGUUUCUUUUGGAACAGGAGACCAGGAUGAAGAAGACUGAAAGAGACCAUGCAACGGAUACAAAAGCAAUACAUUUUUUUUUCCAGAAAUGGGAUUGAGGGAUAAUGUUGAGGGGACAACACUGAACGUCAAAUGACAAGAAGUGAACCUGGGAGGUCUGCAAGCACCCCCGAAAUCUACACCAAGCCUGUCUGUCUUCUGGAGACUUGUUGAAUGCUCUGACGGCCAGGAGGGGGUGCCAGAUCACCCACAGUGCCCGUUCAUCCAGCACUACUGCAUCAACCUGGUGUCACAAGAAUAUCUGGAUAAAGACUCCCAGUGCCCCCAUAUGAGUGUUAUCGCCAGUGUUAUCCUGUUACAGAACAGAGUCUAUUUACCAGUCGACACCAGUUAACAGACUAACUCAAGCUAGUCAGCAGUGAAGUUCUUUUAGAAGCAGAAAUAGACCAGACUUCACCUGGACUCACUGUGAACCAAAUACCUACACGUGAGGCAACAUUUGUGCUUACCUGCUAUUAAUCUGCAUGGUCAUGCUUUUGUUGCUAUUUUUGGUUCACUGGACAAUAGUCUGUUUGGCGCAGCCAAAGGCUAACAGGUCAUCAGGAGCCAUACAAAGAAGAAUGUGGCAAGAAGUGAGGAAGUUGUUAAAGCUUUAGUUUAGUUUGGAGGAUCGUGUGACAAAUAUAAUGACAAUGUCCUGCUACUUAGCAGUGUAAAUGCACCAAUGAAAAGGGCAAAAUGGGGGGAUGUUUUGCUGAUUGAUUGCAGCCAAUAAAACUCAUUCUGGAAUCCUC